rnacentral:rRNA from 1 species
UUGCGACUUCCACGGCAAGCUUUAACAUGACUCGUCGACUAUGAACCACUUCGGUGGGGGAUUAAUGGCGAACGGGUGACUAACACGUGGGCAAUCUGCCCUGCACUCUGGGACAAGCCCUGGAAACGGGGUCUAAUACCGGAUACGACCACUUCAGGCAUCUGAUGGUGGUGGAAAGCUCCGGCGGUGCAGGAUGAGCCCGCGGCCUAUCAGCUAGUUGGUGAGGUAACGGCUCACCCAAGGCGACGACGGGUAGCCCGCCUGAGAGGGCGACCGGCCACACUGGGACUGAGACACGGCCCAGACUCCUACGUGAGGCAGCAGUGGGGAAUAUUGCACAAUGGGCGAAAGCCUGAUGCAGCGACGCCGCGUGAGGGAUGACGGCCUUCGGGUUGUAAACCUCUUUCAGCAGGGAAGAAGCGAAAGUGACGGUACCUGCAGAAGAAGCGCCGGCUAAAUACGUGCCAGCAGCCGCGGUAAUACGUAGGGCGCAGCGUUGUCCGGAAUUAUUGGGGGUAAAGAGCUCGUAGGCGGCCUGUCACGUUGGAUGUGAAAGCCCGGGGCUUAACCCCGGGUCUGCUUUCGAUACGGGCAGGCUAGAGUUCGGUAGGGGAGAUCGGAAUUCCUGGUGUAGCGGUGAAAUGCGCAGAUAUCAGGAGGAACACCGGUGGCGAAGGCGGAUUUUUGGGCCGAUACUGACGCUGAGGAGCGAAAGCGUGGGGAGCGAACAGGAUUAGAUACCCUGGUAGUUCACGCCGUAAACGUUGGGAACUAGGUGUGGGGGACAUUCCACGUCGUCCGUGCCGCAGCUAACGCAUUAAGUUCCCCGCCUGGGGAGUACGGCCGCAAGGCUAAAACUCAAAGGAAUUGACGGGGGCCCGCACAAGCGGCGGAGCAUGUGGGUUAAUUCGACGCAACGCGAAGAACCUUUUCAAGGCUUGACAUACACCGGAAACACCCAAAGAUGGGUGCCCCCUUUUGUUUGGUGUACAGUUGGUGCAGGCAGUCGUCAAAUGUAUGCGUCAAAAAAAUCCCC